AGUGAACGCUGGCGGUAGGCCUAACACAUGCAAGUCGAACGGCAGCACAGGAGAGCUUGCUCUCUGGGUGGCGAGUGGCGGACGGGUGAGGAAUACAUCGGAAUCUACUCUGUCGUGGGGGAUAACGUAGGGAAACUUACGCUAAUACCGCAUACGACCUACGGGUGAAAGCAGGGGACCUUCGGGCCUUGCGCGAUUGAAUGAGCCGAUGUGGGAGUAGCUAGUUGGCGGGGUAAAGGCCCACAAAGGCGACGAUCCGUAGCUGGUCUGAGAGGAUGAUCAGCCACACUGGAACUGAGACACGGUCCAGACUCCUACGGGAGGCAGCAGUGGGGAAUAUUGGACAAUGGGCGCAAGCCUGAUCCAGCCAUACCGCGUGGGUGAAGAAGGCCUUCGGGUUGUAAAGCCCUUUUGUUGGGAAAGAAAUCCAGCUGGCUAAUACCCGGUUGGGAUGACGGUACCCAAAGAAUAAGCACCGGCUAACUUCGUGCCAGCCGCCGCGGUAA
rnacentral:rRNA from 1 species